GGGUGCUCGAGUGGCGAACGGGUGAGUAACACGUGAGUAACCUGCCCUUGACUUUGGGAUAACUUCAGGAAACUGGGGCUAAUACCGGAUAGGAGCUCCUGCUGCAUGGUGGGGGUUGGAAAGUUUCGGCGGUUGGGGAUGGACUCGCGGCUUAUCAGCUUGUUGGUGGGGUAGUGGCUUACCAAGGCUUUGACGGGUAGCCGGCCUGAGAGGGUGACCGGCCACAUUGGGACUGAGAUACGGCCCAG
rnacentral:rRNA from 1 species